rnacentral:rRNA from 1 species
UACGAAGGGGGCUAGCGUUGCUCGGAAUCACUGGGCGUAAAGCGCACGUAGGCGGCUUGUUAAGUCAGGGGUGAAAUCCUGGAGCUCAACUCCAGAACUGCCUUUGAUACUGGCGAGCUUGAGUCCGGGAGAGGUGAGUGGAACUGCGAGUGUAGAGGUGAAAUUCGUAGAUAUUCGCAAGAACACCAGUGGCGAAAGGCGGCUCACUGGCCCGGUACUGACGCUGAGGCACGGAAAGCGUGGGGAGCAAACAGG